GCUGGGCGUGGUGGCACAUACCUGUAAUCCCAGGGGCUCAGGAGGCUGAGGCAGGAGGAUCAUGAGUUCAAAUCCAGCCUCAGCAACUUAUUGAGGCCCUAAGCAACUAAGUGAGCCCCCGUCUCUA
rnacentral:sRNA from 1 species